GACGAACGCUGGCGGCGUGCUUAACACAUGCAAGUCGAACGAAGAGCGAUGGAAGCUUGCUUCUAUCAAUCUUAGUGGCGAACGGGUGAGUAACGCGUAAUCAACCUGCCCUUCAGAGGGGGACAACAGUUGGAAACGACUGCUAAUACCGCAUACGAUCUAAUCUCGGCAUCGAGGAUAGAUGAAAGGUGGCCUCUACAUGUAAGCUAUCACUGAAGGAGGGGAUUGCGUCUGAUUAGCUAGUUGGAGGGGUAACGGCCCACCAAGGCGAUGAUCAGUAGCCGGUCUGAGAGGAUGAACGGCCACAUUGGGACUGAGACACGGCCCAGACUCCUACGGGAGGCAGCAGUGGGGAAUCUUCCGCAAUGGACGAAAGUCUGACGGAGCAACGCCGCGUGAGUGAUGACGGCCUUCGGGUUGUAAAGCUCUGUUAAUCGGGACGAAAGGCCUUCUUGCGAAU
rnacentral:rRNA from 1 species